rnacentral:rRNA from 1 species
GACGAACGCUGGCGGCGUGCCUAACACAUGCAAGUCGAGCGGAGAUUAGUUGAAGAUUUAUCUAAUACUAAUUUUAGCGGCGGACGGGUGAGUAACGCGUGGGCAACCUGCCUCAUACUGGGGGAUAACACUGGGAAACUAGUGCUAAUACCGCAUAACAAGGUUUUACCGCAUGGUAGAACUUUCAAAGGAGCAAUCCGGUAUGAGAUGGGCCCGCGUCCGAUUAGCUAGUUGGUGGGGUAAAGGCCUACCAAGGCGACGAUCGGUAGCCGAACUGAGAGGUUGAUCGGCCACAUUGGGACUGAGACACGGCCCAGACUCCUACGGGAGGCAGCAGUGGGGAAUAUUGCGCAAUGGGGGAAACCCUGACGCAGCAACGCCGCGUGAAGGAUGAAGGUCUUCGGAUUGUAAACUUCUUUGAUUGGGGACGAAUAAUGACGGUACCCAAAAAACAAGCCACGGCUAACUACGUGCCAGCCGCCGCAGUAA